UACAGAGGGGGCAAGCGUUGUUCGGAUUCAUUGGGCGUAAAGGGUGCGUAGGUGGCGCGGUAAGUCGGGUGUGAAAUUUCGGAGCUUAACUCCGAAACUGCAUUCGAUACUGCCGUGCUUGAGGACUGGAGAGGAGACUGGAAUUUACGGUGUAGCGGUGAAAUGCGUAGAUAUCGUAAGGAAGACCAGUGGCGAAGGCGGGUCUCUGGACAGUUCCUGACGCUGAGGCACGAAGGUCAGGGGAGCAAACGGG
rnacentral:rRNA from 1 species